UGACUUUCUCCUGAAUUUCUGUGAUCUUUGUUUCCAUCCAGAUUCUAAAUUCUGUUUGUCGUUUCAGCCAUUUUGGUCUGGUUAAAAACCAUUGCUAGGGAGCUAGUGCAGUUGUUUGGGGAUAAGAAGACAUUCUGGCUUUUAGAGUUUCAGAGUUCUUGCACUGGUUGUUUUGUAUGUGUGUGGGCUGAUGUUCAUUUAAUCUUUGAAGUCGCUCUUCUUUGUAUGGUGCUUUUUGCUUGUAUUUUCUUUGGUGUCCUUGAAGGUUUGACUGGUAUAAGUUGGGUUUAGUUGAUGGCCUUCAUUUCUAGAUGAUUCAGGGGGCCAACAUUCAGCUCUGCACUACUGGGCUGUGUAAUUUAACCAUGGGUAGAUGGUACCAGGCCUGUGAUUUUGUUCUCUGUCUCCUCCAGGUUAAGCACCUGCUGUGCUGGAUGGGCCAAGGUGCUCCCUGUCUGGUGGCAACAAUACUCCAAUGGGAGUGCUGGCGAAAGUGAUUCAUUUGAGUAGUGGCAGUGGGUUCCAUGCAUGCAUGCAUGCUUGUGUCAGCAGGAUCGGUGUGCAAGUGUGUAUCCAAGCAGUGGCAUGGCAUUGACAUGGUCGGGUCUGCAAGUGCACACAGUCUCCACUGGCAGAGUGCAGUGGGGUCUGCACAUGUGUGCACACCACCAGCAGCAGCAUGGCAGUGUUCACAUGUGCAUGUGCCAGCACAUCUGUAGGGGAGACUGUGGGUGAGUGCACAUCAGCAGAAGCUGCGGGUGGUGCUUAUCAGCAGAAGCUCUCUGAUGGUUAAGCAAGAUCUGUCAGUGUAGGAGCUAUGAAGUUGGCUGCUGGGAAAUGCCUCAGUUGGGCAUCUGAGUCUGUGCUACAAGCAACUAUAGCCAGGCAGGGACCCUGGGAAAGGCUGGUAGAUAGGGGGAUGCUCAGAUCACACUGGCCGCAUCCUACAGGCAACAUAACCCUAUUCUGUACAGGACUGAUAGUCAACAAAAUCCAAAUCCACCUACAUGAACAUGUUAUGCCUCAGGGAAUGGGCAUCCAUGAUGGUGCUCCACUGCAGCCAUUCUGGCACCAAAACCUCUGAGUCCCAUGCAGGCUGGAGCCCUGUCCCUGCCAACUCCCCAAGAAGCUCUUUCUGCUAGCUCAAAUGCCUGUUAGGGACAUGGGGUUUUCUGCAGCUAUGAUUCUGGAGGUUUGUGGACUCCUUCUUUACACCAAAUGCAAAAAUUAAAUCAAGAUGGAUUAAAGAUGUAAAUGUAAAACCAAAAACUAUAAAAAUCCUGGAAGACAACCUAUACAAUACUGUUCUCCACAUAGGAAUCAGCAAAGAUUUUAUGAUGAUGCCAAAAGCAAUUGCA
rnacentral:lncRNA from 1 species